GCAGUCUGAAACUCGAGUGCAUGAAGCUGGAAUCGCUAGUAAUCGCAAAUCAGAAUGUUGCGGUGAAUACGUUCCCGGGUCUUGUACACACCGCCCGUCACACCAUGGGAGUUGGCAACACCCGAAGUCGAUGAGCUAACCUUUUAGGAGGCAGUCGCCUAAGGUGGGGUUGAUAACUGGGGUGAAGUCGUAACAAGGUACC
rnacentral:rRNA from 1 species